CAUUCAAGAUAGAGGAUAGAACAUGUCAGCUUGAUAACACUGCCAAAAACCAGAGGCCUGGUGCAAUGAAGAAAACCUUAAUGUAAAACAAAACUGGCAUUGGAUAUUGGAUGAACUUUCAAACUGUUACUUCAAAAUGAAGAUAAAAAAAGCAGCAAAGGCAACAGUGAAAACAGUGAAUCCCAACCUACAGAAUAUUGGAUAAAUCUAUAUGAACUCGACUAAUUAAACAGCAACCUUGUUCACUCUAAAGGAAUCCAUGACUUU